rfam:Penicillium polonicum strain IBT 4502 PENPOL_contig018, whole genome shotgun sequence.
GGCGGUUUGGCCGAGUGGUCUAAGGCGAUUGACUAGAACUUUCUUGAUCUCUAGAUCUCCUUCUUGAGAUCAAGCUUCCUUUAUCAAUUCCGUUCGCGGGCGCAUGUUCGAAUCAUGCAGCCGUCG